AUUGAACGCUGGCGGCAGGCCUAACACAUGCCAGUCGAGCGGAUGAAGGGAGCUUGCUCCUGGAUUCAGCGGCGGACGGGUGAGUAAUGCCUAGGAAUCUGCCUGGUAGUGGGGGAUAACGUCCGGAAACGGGCGCUAAUACCGCAUACGUCCUGAGGGAGAAAGUGGGGGAGCUUCGGACCUCACGCUAUCAGAUGAGCCUAGGUCGGAUUAGCUAGUUGGUGGGGUAAAGGCCUACCAAGGCGACGAUCCGUAACUGGUCUGAGAGGAUGAUCAGUCACACUGGAACUGAGACACGGUCCCGACUCCUACGGGAGGAAGCAGUGGGGAAUAUUGGACAAUGGGCGAAAGCCUGAUCCAGCCAUGCCGCGUGUGUGAAGAAGGUCUUCGGAUUGUAAAGCACUUUAAGUUGGGAGGAAGGGCAGUAAGUUAAUACCUUGCUGUUUUGACGUUACCAACAGAAUAAGCACCGGCUAACUUCGUG
rnacentral:rRNA from 1 species